rnacentral:rRNA from 1 species
CGUGUAGGCGGCCACGCAGGUCCGUUGUGAAAACUGGAGGCUCAACCUCCAGCUGUCGACGGAAACCGUAUGGCUAGAGUCCGGAAGAGGAGAGUGGAAUUCCUGGUGUAGCGGUGAAAUGCGCAGAUAUCAGGAAGAACACCAAUGGCGAAGGCAGCUCUCUGGGACGGUACUGACGCUGAGCGCGAAGCGUGGGAGCGAACA